AUUUUACACAGAGGGAAUUGGGAGUUACCUGGGAUGUGGAUUUGUAUGGCGAGUUGCUCAAAAUUGGGGGAGGAAAAGAAAGGAUGACAGCCUACUUUAACAAGACUGGUUGGCCAGAGAAAGCUCCAAAGAGCGAAGAGGAAAGAAAGCAAUUUAUUGCUUCCCUGCACAAGAGAAAGACGGAGUUGUUCAUGGCCCUUAUUGA